CCUACGGGGGGCAGCAGUGAGGAAUAUUGGUCAAUGGGCGGGAGCCUGAACCAGCCAAGUCGCGUGAGGGACGACGGUCCUAUGGAUUGUAAACCUCUUUUGUCGGGGAACAAAGGCGCCCACGGGUGGGCGGAUGAGUGUACCCGAAGAAAAAGCAUCGGCUAACUCCGUGCCAGCAGCCGCGGUAAUACGUAGGGAGCGAGCGUUGUCCGGAUUUACUGGGUGUAAAGGGUGCGUAGGCGGCUUGGCAAGUCAGUAGUGAAAUCCAUGGGCUUAACCCAUGAACUGCUAUUGAAACUGUCGAGCUUGAGUGAAGUAGAGGGAGGCGGAAUUCCCGGUGUAGCGGUGAAAUGCGUAGAGAUCGGGAGGAACACCAGUGGCGAAGGCGGCCUACUGGGCUUUAACUGACGCUGAGGCACGAAAGCGUGGGUAGCAAACAGGAUUAGAUACCCUUGUAGUC
rnacentral:rRNA from 1 species